CAGGGGGGACCAACAAAAUUUUGUUCGUGCCAUCGCACAGUCAAAGGUGGGUAAGCAAAUAAAGUGAGUGGGGAACCCUUUUUUAACACGUGGACAACCUGCCUCAAGGCUGGGGAUAACAUUUGGAAACAGAUGCUAAUACCGAAUAAAACUUAGUGUCGCAUGACACAAAGUUAAAAGGCGCUUCGGCGUCACCUAGAGAUGGAUCCGCGGUGCAUUAGUUAGUUGGUGGGGUAAAGGCCUACCAAGACAAUGAUGCAUAGCCGAGUUGAGAGACUGAUCGGCCACAUUGGGACUGAGACACGGCCCAAACUCCUACGGGAGGCUGCAGUAGGGAAUCUUCCACAAUGGGCGAAAGCCUGAUGGAGCAACGCCGCGUGUGUGAUGAAGGCUUUCGGGUCGUAAAGCACUGUUGUAUGGGAAGAACAGCUAGAAUAGGAAAUGAUUUUAGUUUGACGGUACCAUACCAGAAAGGGACGGCUAAAUACGUGCCAGCAGCCGCGGUAAUACGUAUGUCCCGAGCGUUAUCCGGAUUUAUUGGGCGUAAAGCGAGCGCAGACGGUUUAUUAAGUCUGAUGUGAAAGCCCGGAGCUCAACUCCGGAAUGGCAUUGGAAACUGGUUAACUUGAGUGCAGUAGAGGUAAGUGGAACUCCAUGUGUAGCGGUGGAAUGCGUAGAUAUAUGGAAGAACACCAGUGGCGAAGGCGGCUUACUGGACUGCAACUGACGUUGAGGCUCGAAAGUGUGGGUAGCAAACAGGAUUAGAUACCCUGGUAGUCCACACCGUAAACGAUGAACACUAGGUGUUAGGAGGUUUCCGCCUCUUAGUGCCGAAGCUAACGCAUUAAGUGUUCCGCCUGGGGAGUACGACCGCAAGGUUGAAACUCAAAGGAAUUGACGGGGACCCGCACAAGCGGUGGAGCAUGUGGUUUAAUUCGAAGCAACGCGAAGAACCUUACCAGGUCUUGACAUCCUUUGAAGCUUUUAGAGAUAGAAGUGUUCUCUUCGGAGACAAAGUGACAGGUGGUGCAUGGUCGUCGUCAGCUCGUGUCGUGAAAUGUUGGGUUAAGUCCCGCAACGAGCGCAACCCUUAUUGUUAGUUGCCAGCAUUCAGAUGGGCACUCUACCGAGACUGCCGGUGACAAACCGGAGGAAGGCGGGGACGACGUCAGAUCUUCAUGCCCCUUAUGACCUGGGCUACACACGUGCUACAAUGGCGUAUACAACGAGUUGCCACCCGCGAAGGUGAGCUAAUCUCUAAAGUACCUUCCAUUCCGAAUUGAAUCUGCAACUGCAUCAUGAAAAUGGAAUCCCUAAUAAUCCCGAAACCCCCCCCCCGGGGGAAACUUCCCGGGUUUUUCCCCCCCCCCCCCCCCCCAGGGAUUUUAUUACCCACCCGGGGCCC
rnacentral:rRNA from 1 species